GACGAACGCUGGCGGCGUGGAUUAGGCAUGCAAGUCGAACGGUAUCAUCCUUUCGGGGGUGAGAGAGUGGCGAACUGGUGAGUAACACGUAGGUUAUCUACCCUCAAGACGGGGACAACCCAGGGAAACUUGGGCUAAUACCGGAUGUGAGCAACUUUUAGUUGUUUGAAAGGUGGCGUAAGCUGUCGCUUGGGGAUGAGCCUGCGUCCUAUUAGUUAGUUGGUGAGGUAACGGCUCACCUAGGCAAUGAUAGGUAGGCGGCCUUAACGGGUGGUCGCCCACACUGGGAUUGAGAUACGGCCCAGACUCCUACGGGAGGCAGCAGUCGAGAAUAGUCUACAAUGGUCGGAAGACUGAUAGUGCGACGCCGCGUGAACGAUGAAUCCCUUCGGGGUGUAAAGUUCUUUUAUAUGUGAGCAGUGCUUCUUAUAUUAAACAGUAUGGGGAGAGAGAUAUUAGCAUAUGAAUAAGCGACGGCUAAACUCCGUGCCCAGCAGCCGCGGUAAA
rnacentral:rRNA from 1 species